rnacentral:rRNA from 1 species
GACCCUCGGAAACGAAUAUCUUAGCUCUUGUCACAAUGAAGAAUGUAGUGAAAUGUGAUACUUAGUGUGAAUUGCAAAAUCCCGUGAAUCAUCGAGAAUUUUCAUAUGUUUUUAUCUUAUCUUGAAUGUAG